rnacentral:lncRNA from 1 species
GCCACUCUGAGAACCAGUAGAUGGUAGGCCUAAAUGGUUAGGGUAACACUGGGGCCAAUGCCUUUAUCCGGGUUGCUGGAACAGGUUGUCAUUCUCCCUACCCAGGGGCCAUCUGCAUAGGGUAUUCAUGAUAGAGCAUUAGACGGGCAGGCCUUUAGUUUUCUCCUAACAGCACAGUUUCUUCUGAUCCAGUGAUUUUUAUUUGUUUGUUUUUGGAGACAGGGUUUCUCUGCGUAGCUCUGGCUGUCCUGAAACUUACUCUGUAGUCCAGGCUGGCCUUGAGCUCAGAGAUUCGAUUGCCUCUGCCUCCUGAGUGCUGGGAUUAAAGGUGUGUGCCACCACUGCCCAGAGAUCCAGUGAUUUUUAAUGGGCUCUAUCUAGGAUCAUGGGAACCCAGUUAUGUGAAGGCUGUCAGAAAAGAUUGGGGAAAAUGCAACUAUACCCGUGUUGUUUGGAUUAUUUUAAAUCAACUGCUCAUCCUUAGGAUUUUCCCCUUUUUUGGCCUAAGAAAAAGAAGAGGAACUGAGAGCAAGAGGGGAGAAUUCUCCUACAGCACCUCUUGCUUUGCAGACAACAACCAAAACCCCCUUGGGUUUGAGCAGGGCUGUGGACUUUUCUGUAGCCGGCUCCCACUCACAGCCUCUCUGGUCCUUAGAGCUCCCCUAGGUGGGAGGGAGACUUCUGAUUGGCCUGAUUUUACUUUUUUUGGUAGACAGGAACAUUCCUGGGGCUGUAGGAGAGGGUUUGGGAAAGAGGGAAUGCUGGAGUUUCAGAGUUCCUUCCCAGUUGGUCCGAUUGUCCAUAUCUGGGGCAGAAAGGUCUGUUGGGGCAGGGACCUGAGCCAGGUCUCUUCUGGGUGGGUGGAGAAGCUGGGCUCCCUGAGCCCUGAGUCACCACCAUGUGUUGUCUCCUUCUAGCUACAGGACUCCCCUGUCUGCUGGGAUAUUCCCCAACCUCAAGCCCAAUCGCAGUGUCUGCCAUGAAGACAGGGGCAUUGCCCCUCAGGUCCACUCCCUGAAGUCAGUUCUUGCCGAGCUCCUCUAGAGGGCGCUGGAGGCCAAGCAGAGGAGGCGGCGCCAACAUGCGCAGAUUGACACUUCCAGGAACUGCUGUUAGAGAUGAUGCUUGUUGGAAAAGACGCAGCAAACCUGAUGCCUGUAAACCUCUCUGGUCCCUCUCUCCUUUUGUCCUUCCCUUCCUUCUUUUUUGUUUUGAGACAGGGUCUCGCUCUGUACCCCAAGCUGGCUUCAGACUCAGCUUCUAAGUGCUGAGAUCACAAGUGUGAGUCACCAGGCCAGGCUUCCUUUCCUUUUUUGAUCCUAAUGAAGCAAAUCGCAUGUAAAUAAACUGAUUUGUUACAG